rnacentral:rRNA from 1 species
AUGCUAAAUGACAGGAUAAAUACAUGUGACCUUUUGACCAGAAAAGGCAUGCACCUAGAUUCCACUGUAUGUGUUCUAUGCAACAAUGAAGACAAUGAAGACAGGACCCAUCUACUAUUCUCUUGUCCAUUUAGUCAAGGAUUCUGGUGGAACAUAGGAUUUGAAUGGAACUCGGAUAUGGAGAUCAACAAUAUGAUUAUUGAUGCUAAACACAGAUAUAAAAUUGACCACUUCAUGGAAAUCAUGAUACUUGGUUGUUGGAGCAUAUGGAACCAAAGGAAUGGGAUGAUCUUUGAAGGGAUUCCUUGCUCAAUAAAUGACUGCAAGAUUGACUUUGUCAGAUAUUUCAAAAUGACCAUGCUGAGGGCUAAACCCACUCUAAAAGAGGGCAUGUCCUCUUGGAUAGAUACUAUUUAA